CUUCGGAGGCACCUGCACAGGUGCUGCAUGGCUGUCGUCAGCUCGUGUCGUGAGAUGUUGGGUUAAGUCCCGCAACGAGCGCAACCCUUGUCUUUAAUUGCCAUCAUUGAGUUGGGCACUUUAAAGAGACUGCCGGUGUCAAACCGGAGGAAGGUGGGGGAUGACGUCAAGUCCUCAUGGCCUUUAUGACCAGGGCUACACACGUACUACAAUGGCCGGUACAAAGGGCAGCGACACAGCGAUGUGAAGCGAAUCCCGAAAAGCCGGUCUCAGUCCGGAUUGGAGUCUGCAACUCGACUCCAUGAAGUUGGAAUCGCUAGUAAUCGCGGAUCAGCACGCCGCGGUGAAUACGUUCCCGGGCCUU
rnacentral:rRNA from 1 species